rnacentral:rRNA from 1 species
UACGAAUGGGGCAAGCGUUGUUCGGAAUCACUGGGCUUAAAGCGUGCGUAGGCGGACAUGAAAGUCAGGAGUGAAAUCCCGGGGCUUAACCCCGGAACUGCUUUUGAAACUCCAUGUCUAGAAUCCGGGAGGGGUUAGUGGAAUUCCGAGUGUAGAGGUGAAAUUCGCAGAUAUUCGGAGGAACACCAGUGGCGAAGGCGACUGACUGGACCGGUAUUGACGCUGAGGUACGAAAGCGUGGGGAGCAAACAGG